CACGUAGGGUGCGAGCGUUGUCCGGAAUUAUUGGGCGUAAAGAGCUCGUAGGCGGCUCAGUAAGUCAGGUGUGAAAACUCCAGGCUCAACCUGGAGACGCCACCUGAUACUGCUGUGGCUAGAGUCCGGUAGGGGAGCAUGGAAUUCCUGGUGUAGCGGUGAAAUGCGCAGAUAUCAGGAGGAACACCAGUGGCGAAGGCGGUGCUCUGGGCCGGAACUGACGCUGAGGAGCGAAAGCGUGGGGAGCAAACAGG
rnacentral:rRNA from 1 species